rnacentral:rRNA from 1 species
CCUACGGGAGACAGCAGUGAGUAAUAUUGGUCAAUGGACGAGAGUCUGAACCAGCCAAGUAGCGUGAAGGAUGACUGCCCUAUGGGUUGUAAACUUCUUUUAUAAAGGAAUAAAACGAGGCACGUGUGCCUUUUUGCAUGUACUUUAUGAAUAAGGAUCGGCUAACUCCGUGCCAGCAGCCGCGGUAAUACGGAGGAUCCGAGCGUUAUCCGGAUUUAUUGGGUUUAAAGGGAGCGUAGAUGGGUUGUUAAGUCAGUUGUGAAAGUUUGCGGCUCAACCGUAAAAUUGCAAUUGAUACUGGCAGUCUUGAGUACAGUUGAGGUAGGCGGAAUUCGUGGUGUAGCGGUGAAAUGCUUAGAUAUCACGAAGAACCCCGAUUGCGAAGGCAGCUUGCUAAACUGUGACUGACAUUGAUGCUCGAAAGUGUGGGUAUCAAACAGGAUUAGAUACCCUAGUAGUC